AAAUUGAAGAGUUUGAUCAUGGCUCAGAUUGAACGCUGGCGGCAGGCCUAACACAUGCAAGUCGAACGGUAACAGGAAGCAGCUUGCUGCUUUGCUGACGAGUGGCGGACGGGUGAGUAAUGUCUGGGAAACUGCCUGAUGGAGGGGGAUAACUACUGGAAACGGUGGCUAAUACCGCAUAACGUCGCAAGACCAAAGAGGGGGACCUUCGGGCCUCUUGCCAUCAGAUGUGCCCAGAUGGGAUUAGCUUGUUGGUGAGGUAACGGCUCACCAAGGCGACGAUCCCUAGCUGGUCUGAGAGGAUGACCAGCCACACUGGAACUGAGACACGGUCCAGACUCCUACGGGAGGCAGCAGUGGGGAAUAUUGCACAAUGGGCGCAAGCCUGAUGCAGCCAUGCCGCGUGUAUGAAGAAGGCCUUCGGGUU
rnacentral:rRNA from 5 species